rnacentral:lncRNA from 1 species
AAAGGUAGGUCGAUCUCAAUCGAGAUCACCACUUUCAUUCUGAAUGCUAAUUUGAAGGGAGUCUCUCAGGUCGGGAUCCGAGGAGUCGUUCGAUUAGAUUAUAGGACACUGAAAAGUUUGUCAGCCCAACACCCUUUGGCUUGACCGAUUCUUGUCUUCAGGCCUUGUAAAAUUAUCCUGUUGGUCAUCUCGGCUUGUCCAUUAGAUUACG